GACGAACGCUGGCGGCGUGCUUAACACAUGCAAGUCGAACGGAGUGGCGAACGGGUGAGUAACACGUGGGUGACCUGCCCUGCACUUCGGGAUAAGCCUUGGCCACUGGGUCUAAUACCAGGUAUUGUGGGAUGGGCCCGCGGCCGAUCAGCUUGUUGGUGGGGUAAUGGCCUACCAAGGCGGCGACGGGUAGCCGGCCUGAGCGGGUGGACGGCCACAUUGGGACUGAGACACGGCCCAGACUCAUACGGGAGGCAGUAGUGGGGAAUAUUGCACAAUGGGCGGAAGCCUGAUGCAGCGACGCCGCGUGGGGGAUGACGGCCUUCGGGUUGGAAACUCCGUUCAGCAACGACGCGGUAGAUGGAGAAGAAGCACCGGCUAACUACGUGCCAGCAGCCGCGGUAAUUC
rnacentral:rRNA from 1 species